rnacentral:rRNA from 1 species
GAGCGGCGAACGGGUGAGUAACACGUGAGUAACCUGCCCUGGACUUUGGGAUAACCCUCGGAAACGGGGGCUAAUACCGAAUACGACACUCCACUGCAUGGUGUGGGUGUGGAAAGUUUUUCGGUCUGGGAUGGGCUCGCGGCCUAUCAGCUUGUUGGUGGGGUGAUGGCCUACCAAGGCGACGACGGGUAGCCGGCCUGAGAGGGCGACCGGCCACACUGGGACUGAGACACGGCCCAGACUCCUACGGGAGGCAGCAGUGGGGAAUAUUGCACAAUGGGCGGAAGCCUGAUGCAGCGACGCCGCGUGAGGGAUGACGGCCUUCGGGUUGUAAACCUCUUUCAGCAGGGACGAAGCGCAAGUGACGGUACCUGCAGAAGAAGCGCCGGCCAACUACGUGCCAGCAGCCGCGGUAAGACGUAGGGCGCGAGCGUUGUCCGGAUUUAUUGGGCGUAAAGAGCUCGUAGGCGGCUUGUCGCGUCGUUCGUGAAAACCUGGGGCUCAACCCCAGGCUUGCGGGCGAUACGGGCAGGCUAGAGUUCGGUAGC